rnacentral:rRNA from 1 species
UGGUGGCGACCGGCGCACGGGUGAGUAACGCGUAUGCAACCCACUUAUAAGAGGGGGAUAACCCGGCGAAAGUCGGACUAAUACCUUAUAAAACAGGGGCACCGCAUGGUGAUAUUUGUUAAAGAAAUUCGCUGAUAGAUGGGCAUGCGUUCCAUUAGGUAGUUGGUGAGGUAACGGCUCACCAAGCCGACGAUGGAUAGGGGAACUGAGAGGUUGGUCCCCCACACUGGUACUGAGACACGGACCAGACUCCUACGGGAGGCAGCAGUGAGGAAUAUUGGUCAAUGGGCGGGAGCCUGAACCAGCCAAGUAGCGUGCAGGAUGACGGCCCUAUGGGUUGUAAACUGCUUUUAUAAGGGAGUAAAGUGAGCCUCGUGAGGCUUUUUGCAUGUACCUUAUGAAUAAGGACCGGCUAAUUCCGUGCCAGCAGCCGCGGUAAUACGGAAGGUCCGGGCGUUAUCCGGAUUUAUUGGGUUUAAAGGGAGCGUAGGCCGGAGAUUAAGCGUGUUGUGAAAUGUAGAUGCUCAACAUCUGCACUGCAGCGCGAACUGGUUUCCUUGAGUACGCACAAAGUGGGCGGAAUUCGUGGUGUAGCGGUGAAAUGCUUAGAUAUCACGAAGAACUCCGAUU